CGGCCUGCGCCCGAGAUGGUGCUCACCAGUUUUUUACCAGCUCCAACCCAGCUGUCUCAAGACCAGCUGGAACUAGAAGAAAGAGCAAGAGCUCAAAGAUCUAGGCAGACUGCUCUGGUCUCCUCUCGAAGGGAACCUCCCCCAUACGGUUACCGUAAAGGAUGGAUAGCACGGGUGCUAGAGGAUUUUGGAGAUGGAGGUGCAUUCCCAGAAAUUCACGUGGCCCAGUAUCCAUUGGAUAUGGGCAGAAAGAAGAAAAUGUCCAAUGCUCUGGCUGUUCAGGUGGAUGCAGAAGGAAAAAUAAAAUACGAUGCAAUUGCUCGACAAGGACAAUCAAAGGACAAGGUAAUUUACAGCAAGUACACAGAUCUUGUGCCAAAAGAAGUCAUGAAUGUAGAUGAUCCUGAACUACAAAGACCAGAUGAAGAAGCAAUUAGAGAGAUAACAGAGAAGACAAGAGCAGCCUUGGAGAAAUCAGUCUCCCAGAAGAUUGCAGCAGCCAUGCCUGUUCGAGCAGCUGACAAACUAGCUCCUGCACAGUACAUUCGGUACACACCAUCUCAGCAAGGUGUUGCCUUCAACUCGGGAGCAAAACAGAGAGUUAUUCGGAUGGUGGAAAUGCAGAAGGACCCUAUGGAGCCUCCAAGAUUCAAAAUUAACAAGAAGAUUCCACGUGGACCACGUUCUCCUCCAGCACCUGUAAUGCACUCUCCUAGUCGAAAGAUGACUGUGAAAGAGCAGCAGGAGUGGAAAAUUCCUCCAUGCAUUUCAAACUGGAAAAAUGCAAAGGGUUACACCAUUCCACUAGAUAAGCGUCUGGCUGCAGAUGGCAGAGGAUUGCAGACUGUUUAUAUUAAUGAAAACUUUGCCAAGCUUGCUGAGGCUCUCUGA